rnacentral:rRNA from 1 species
GAUGAAUGCUGGCGGCGUGCCUAACACAUGCAAGUCGAGCGGCAGCGCGGAGAGUUUACUCUCUGGCGGCGAGCGGCGGACGGCUGAGUAACGCGUGGGAACGUGCCCCAAAGUGAGGAAUAACUGCCCGAAAGGGUGGCUAAUGCCGCAUAUGAUCUUCGGAUUAAAGGAUUUAUCCGCUUUGGGAGCGGCCCGCGUCGGAUUAGGUUGUUGGUGAGGUAAUGGCUCACCAAGCCGACGAUCCGUAGCUGGUCUGAGAGGAUGAUCAGCCAGACUGGGACUGAGACACGGCCCAGACUCCUACGGGAGGCAGCAGUGAGGAAUCUUCCACAAUGGGCGAAAGCCUGAUGGAGCAACGCCGCGUGCAGGAUGAAGGCCUUCGGGUUGUAUACUGCUUUUAUAAGUGAAGAAUAUGACGGUAACUUAUGAAUAAGCACCGGCUAACUACGUGCCAGCCGCCGCAGUAA